UACGAGGGGUGCAAGCGUUGUUCGGAAUUACUGGGCGUAAAGCGCGUGUAGGUGGUUAAAUGUGUCGAAUGUGAAAGCCCUGGGCUUAACCCAGGAAGUGCGUUCGAAACUGUUUAACUCGAGUACGGGAGAGGUGGGCGGAAUUCCCAGUGUAGAGGUGAAAUUCGUAGAUAUUGGGAGGAACACCGGUGGCGAAAGCGGCUCACUAGACCGUAACUGACACUGAGACGCGAAAGCGUGGGGAUCAAACAGG
rnacentral:rRNA from 1 species